GAUGAACGCUGGCGGCGUGCCUAAUACAUGCAAGUCGAGCGAACAGACGAGGAGCUUGCUCCUCUGACGUUAGCAGCGGACGGGUGAGUAACACGUGGAUAACCUACCUAUAAGACUGGGAUAACUUCGGGAAACCGGAGCUAAUACCGGAUAAUAUAUUGAACCGCAUGGUUCAAUAGUGAAAGACGGUUUUGCUGUCACUUAUAGAUGGAUCCGCGCCGCAUUAGCUAGUUGGUAAGGUAACGGCUUACCAAGGCAACGAUGCGUAGCCGACCUGAGAGGGUGAUCGGCCACACUGGAACUGAGACACGGUCCAGACUCCUACGGGAGGCAGCAGUAGGGAAUCUUCCGCAAUGGGCGAAAGCCUGACGGAGCAACGCCGCGUGAGUGAUGAAGGUCUUCGGAUCGUAAAACUCUGUUAUUAGGGAAGAACAAAUGUGUAAGUAACUAUGCAUGUCUUGACGGUACCUAAUCAGAAAGCCACGGCUAACUACGUG
rnacentral:rRNA from 1 species